CCUACGGGAUGCACCAGUGGGGAAUAUUGCACAAUGGGCGCAAGCCUGAUGCAGCGAUGCCGCGUGUAUGAAGAAGGCCUUAGAGUUGUAAGGUACUUUCAGUUGUGAGGAAGGCGUUGAUGCUAAUAUCAUCAACGAUUGACGUUACCAACAGAAGGAGCACCGGGUAACUCCGUGCCAGCAGCCGCGGUAAUACGGAGGGUGCAAGCGUUAAUCGGAAUUACUGGGCGUAAAGCGCACGCAGGCGGUUGAUUAAGUUAGAUGUGAAAUCCCCGGGCUUAACCUGGGAAUGGCAUCUAAGACUGGUCAGCUAGAGUCUUGUAGAGGGGGGUAGAAUUCCAUGUGUAGCGGUGAAAUGCGUAGAGAUGUGGAGGAAUACCGGUGGCGAAGGCGGCCCCCUGGACAAAGACCGACGCUCAGGUGCGAAAGCGUGGGGAGCAAACAGGAUUAGAUACCCGUGUAGUC
rnacentral:rRNA from 1 species